GGGUGGGUGGGCCCAAACCUCUUGAGGACACCAUAGCAAAACUCUGAAGAAUUCAGUAGGUAUUUCUACACCAAUGCUUGUUUCCAAGAGGUGCCUGAGGAUGCAUCUCCCUGCAAACCAUUUCCCAAGCAUUCCCUGCAUCUUAAUCUGAAGAACAGCUAAGGAUGUUGUCUUACGUUCCGUUCAUUUCUUACAUUACUCAAAGUCUCUGGCCAAAAGGACAAGGCUAGAGAAUUUGUUGUGAAUUCCUAAUAGGAAAUAACCCCAAACAUCAGUAAUUAGUUUAAUCCCUGCCAACCCUUUAUUCAGACUUGUUUCUAGGAGUGUUAAGUGGUAAAUUUGUCUUUGGUCACUGGGAAUAGUGGAGGAUGUCCCAACAUGGGCGAUUCUCAAUGGAAGGCAUUCUCAAAACGAGUGGCUGUGUUGCUAGUCCCAUCAGGAAGAUUCCAGCCUCACGUUUCAUUUGUUUUUAGUCAUGUUAACCUAGUUUUCUCCAACUUCUCAGCAGCUCAUGAAAAACUAUCAAUAAGGAAAUGACCAAGGAUCUACCAGUCUGGAGGAGCAGCAAGAGUCAACUGUCUGCUGCACUAGACAGAUGAGAAUUAUUGAUGUACUAAUUCUGUUAUUUGAUGGCAAGGACGACUGAGCUAAAUGGAAUUCACAUACUAUAAAACUACAUGGAAGGUCUGGUGGCGCAUGCCUACAGUCCUAGCACUCGGGAAGUAGAGACAGCACAACAAGUGUGAUACCAUCCUAGACUGUAUGUCAAGCUCAAGGUCAUCUUGGACUAUAUAGUAAGGCCCUGUUUUUUAAAAAAGAAAGUUGCAUGGAUUGGUGUGUCAACAUUAACAAUAAUAUGAUCAGAUCUCCAACACCUCUAUCAAGGGAUGUAGGACUUCCUGUACUCAGUAGACAUCUGUCAUAGAAUGCUAAUUCCUAAAAUCUAUCUCACACUUCUAGACUAUUUCUGCCACCCAGCAGAACUGAUCUCGGAACCAAGCCCCCAAGAAAUCCAGGAGACUUUUAUUCCAGCCUUGAUCUGAUGUUGUUAACCUGCUUAGCCUUUGCUAGCAGCAUUCUGUUCUGCUCUGCAGAUCUGCUGGCUAAGCGAAGAGGAAACAAACAAUCCUGAACGGUGGGCUGUGAGAAGCAGGGGACUAGGAAGGCGGCUCCGCAGCGCUGCGCCACAGGCACAACUGAGGAGCCACGAAGGUCAGUCCCUCCCUCAACUUGACUGCCAGGAUUCAGAGGUUCGUGAUGGGUACCCUGCGUUCAGGAAGCUCCCCUUAAGAAGAAACUGUAAGAUGGCGGAAAGGUACGGAUGGAGUGCUGCAGGACAACCAGGAUAGCGGCUCACCUUGUUCAAGGUGGGCCCGCACGGCCCUCAGCUGACUUUCUGUACCAAUAUCGCCGAUCACG